GCUGCACUGAUUCCUAAUUAAACACGCAUUUAAUUGCAAUCAUUCAAACUAUUUCCCUCCCAUACUAUGUUAAUGAAUGUGUAUUGUCACUCUGCAGGAUUCACAGCAGUGGGACCCGGUGUGAAUAGCAAGGCCGUGGAGGCUGUGAAUGGAUCAGGAGGCCCCCUCCAGGGCAUUUGGGGUGGGUUGGCUUCAUCCCUAGGGACCCCGGAACCAUACCCAGGCAGCCAGCUGAGAUGGGCCCUGAAGGCCAUGAAGGGCUCCAAGCUGGAGGCCCCAGGACAGGGACACGUGGCCUACAUGGGGAAGGAUUCCACCUGGGAGACCAUGGAGGCCAAAGCGGGGCCCCUAGAGGUCAUGACCCUGCCUACCAACCCAGAGAGCUACUCUGGUGAGGGGAGAGAUCAGAAUGAGGACCGCAGCAUCCCCCGAUCCAUCCUGGAGAGAGAGGACAAAGAGACAGAGGCAGAGGGAAGCGGGAGAGGAGGGAACGACUUUCCAGGUGGCUUUGGAUCGAACAGUGACACGAACCCAGGCAGCGGUGCCAGCAGCAGCACAAAGCCUCUUCUGUCUGGAUUGAAACCCACUGAGACCCAGAGCCAGAACCAGACUCUGACAGAACACACCACUAUGUUUCAGUGGCAGCUAGUGGACCAGCCCACCACCUCAUCUACUGCUGCCUCUGCUACUGGCUCCAGCCGGGGCCCGGGGGAUACCGCUGAGGAGGCCAGGGGAGAGAUUGUCUAUGUCCGACGCCCUACUGAGAAGCUCCUUCCAACCACCUCCAGUAAGAAAGAUGGCUUCCCCCCUGUGAUCAGAAAGCAGAGCCUGAGUACAGCCAGGGUGACUGAGAGACAACAAAGCCCAAAUGAGGCCACCACACCUGGGUUCACCUCCAGUCCUGCAGCUUCUAUGGAGACCCUGACAACCAUCAAAACUUCCAAAGCAAACAACCAGAGAAACGACUCCAGUGAUUCUACCUCUAACAAGGAGCCAGCCAUCUCCAUUGCACGGGUUCCAGUAGAUAGAGAGGAGACAGCUAGAACCACAUCUCUGACCAGAGAUGGACCCCAAACAACUGCAGCUUCGACUCAGCUGACCAAGGCGUUGUCCUUUCUGAAGGGCAGCGACCAUGAGGAAGAGUCCAGGUUAGCUGUUUCAGAAUCAUUUGUGGUGGGAAAAGGAUGGAAGCCAUUGGGAGGGAUGAAGCCCACGUCUAAGAAGGACAAAACCCCUGUGACCACAGAGAAGACGGAGAAGAGAGAGAAGAACACCUUUGGUGUCGUUAUGCCCAGCUGGGGCUUUGGCCUCAACCCUUCAGUGCCGGCGUCCCAGCGGGUGUGUUGAAUUUUAUAAACCU
rnacentral:lncRNA from 1 species